rnacentral:rRNA from 1 species
GGGUCAGUAGGUUGGUCGUGCCACCGGUACGUACUGGUCUCACUGAUUCCUCCUUCCUGAAGAACCGUAAUGCCAUUAAUUUGUUGUUGCGGGGAAACAGGACUGUUACUUUGAAAAAAUUAGAGUGUUUAAAGCAAGCUAACGCUUGAAUACAUUAGCAUGGAAUGAUGAAAUAGGACGAUCGAUCCUAUUUUGUUGGUUUCUAGGAUUGACGUA